GAAAGCGAGCGGCGGAUGGGUGAGUAACACGUGGGGAACCUGCCCCAUAGUCUGGGAUACCACUUGGAAACAGGUGCUAAUACCGGAUAAGAAAGCAGAUCGCAUGAUCAGCUUUUAAAAGGCGGCGUAAGCUGUCGCUAUGGGAUGGCCCCGCGGUGCAUUAGCUAGUUGGUAAGGUAAAGGCUUACCAAGGCGAUGAUGCAUAGCCGAGUUGAGAGACUGAUCGGCCACAUUGGGACUGAGACACGGCCCAAACUCCUACGGGAGGCAGCAGUAGGGAAUCUUCCACAAUGGACGCAAGUCUGAUGGAGCAACGCCGCGUGAGUGAAGAAGGUUUUCGGAUCGUAAAGCUCUGUUGUUGGUGAAGAAGGAUAGAGGUAGUAACUGGCCUUUAUUUGACGGUAAUCAACCAGAAAGUCACGGCUAACUACGUGCCAGCAGCCGCGGUAAUACGUAGGUGGCAAGCGUUGUCCGGAUUUAUUGGGCGUAAAGCGAGCGCAGGCGGAAGAAUAAGUCUGAUGUGAAAGCCCUCGGCUUAACCGAGGAACUGCAUCGGAAACUGUUUUUCUUGAGUGCAGAAGAGGAGAGUGGAACUCCAUGUGUAGCGGUGGAAUGCGUAGAUAUAUGGAAGAACACCAGUGGCGAAGGCGGCUCUCUGGUCUGCAACUGACGCUGAGGCUCGAAAGCAUGGGUAGCGAACAGGAUUAGAUACCCUGGUAGUCCAUGCCGUAAACGAUGAGUGCUAAGUGUUGGGAGGUUUUCCGCCUCUCAGUGCUGCAGCUAACGCAUUAAGCACUCCGCCUGGGGGAGUACGACCGCAAUGUUUGAAACUCAAAGGAAUUGACGGGGGGCCCCGCACAAGCGGUGGAGCAUGUGGUUUAAUUCGAA
rnacentral:rRNA from 1 species